ACACAUGCAAGUCGAGGGGCAGCGGGAUUGAAGCUUGCUUCAAUUGCCGGCGACCGGCGCACGGGUGAGUAACGCGUAUCCAACCUUCCGUACACUCAGGGAUAGCCUUUCGAAAGAAAGAUUAAUACCUGAUGGUAUGAUGAGAUUGCAUGAUAGCAUCAUUAAAGAUUCAUCGGUGUACGAUGGGGAUGCGUUCCAUUAGGUAGUAGGCGGGGUAACGGCCCACCUAGCCUACGAUGGAUAGGGGUUCUGAGAGGAAGGUCCCCCACAUUGGAACUGAGACACGGUCCAAACUCCUACGGGAGGCAGCAGUGAGGAAUAUUGGUCAAUGGACGAGAGUCUGAACCAGCCAAGUAGCGUGAAGGAUGAAGGUCCUACGGAUUGUAAACUUCUUUUAUAAGGGAAUAAAACCUCCCACGUGUGGGAGCUUGUAUGUACCUUAUGAAUAAGCAUCGGCUAACUCCGUGCCAGCAGCCGCGGUAAUACGGAGGAUGCGAGCGUUAUCCGGAUUUAUUGGGUUUAAAGGGAGCGCAGACGGGUCGUUAAGUCAGCUGUGAAAGUUUGGGGCUCAACCUUAAAAUUGCAGUUGAUACUGGCGUCCUUGAGUGCGGUUGAGGUGUGCGGAAUUCGUGGUGUAGCGGUGAAAUGCUUAGAUAUCACGAAGAACUCCGAUUGCGAAGGCAGCACACUAAGCCGUAACUGACGUUCAUGCUCGAAAGUGUGGGUAUCAAACAGGAUUAGAUACCCUGGUAGUCCACACGGUAAACGAUGGAUACUCGCUGUUGGCGAUAUACGGUCAGCGGCUUAGCGAAAGCGUUAAGUAUCCCACCUGGGGAGUACGCCGGC
rnacentral:rRNA from 1 species